ensembl:lncRNA
AUGUACUAUUUUGACCCUUCAUUUCGAAGUUUCCAUAGGCAGAGUAGCUCAGCUUUCAGCUUCACAAAAACAAAUGCACUCACGCAACACAAGAAAAGUUCUCCCUUUCAGAUCAAUAGGAAAAGGGGUAAGUUUCUGGAGAAAAGAAAUCUGAAACACCCGGAGUUUCUUUUCUAUGGCUCUUCACAGCUUUGCAUAGUUAAACUGCAGAUCAGGCUUGAAUGCUUGGUAAAAAUGGAGGUUUUAGACCUUCAAGGUCUGAAGCCUAUGAGGAUUUUCUAUGGCUUAACAGAGCCAGCCGAACACAGCACUGAGACUACAGAUACAAACAUACCUACACAUUCACUACAGUCACUCUAACCUGCCUAAGAUUAAACAAAGAGUAAAAAAAAAUACUAUUUCACUUCUUCCAUAGUUUUGCCAGUCCAAAGAAAGCAGAGCACAGCUAACAUAGCAAAGGUGAGAAUACCGUAAAAGAUGCCGUUUGCAUUAGAAAAGGCAGACUCGUACCCUCCAGCUUCUGGGAGCACAAGAAACGACCGUCUGGGGCACGAGAGCCACCGACCUCCCCUUUGAUGCAUCACAAAGGGCCGGCACCUGCCGCGGGCUGGGAGGGGCCGGGAAACUUCUAGAAACCAGUUGCGUCUCCCCCUAUGCGAAUGACGGCACGAGCCAUUCGGAUGCAAAAACUAAAGGGCGGAGUUCUUUGCUCUUCCCAUCCACUCGACCACAAGUCUGGCUGUUUCCUAUCAUUGUUUCAGAUGCCAUUUAAUGCCUUUCUGGCUAGUGACGCCAGGGCAGCUGCCUUAGCCUCCAAAAGUCAUACACAGCUGUAACACAAUGGAGGUGCACCAUUACCAGAGUAGCAAGGUCCUAGGCUGCAGCAAGCAAGGCACAGAAACAAAGGAAAGAACUUGCCUACCUUCAGAAAGACUCAGGUACAGAGAUAUCCUUGCUUCCACUGCCAGCCUUUAAAUGAGGUCUUGGAAGGGGUGGAUCCUGGCUCCAUCCCACUUGGUCACUCAGUUGCACUGCAUGCUCCUGAGCUCCCCUGGGUUGCCCCUGCCUUCCCACCAGCUGGCCAAUCACUGCUUCAAACCACGACUCAGCAUUUCCACAGCAACAGCUCACUGGAAGCAUCAGUGCCCUUACUAUAUAUUACAUCCUUGUUGGUCCACCUCUACUGCCUUCCUUAUCCAUGACAACGUGGGUAACAGAACAUUACAAAUUCGCUGGGUCCUGCUAAGCACAUGCUUAUUUUACUACCAAGCACCAAAACAAAAUGCCAAAACAGUCCACAUGAAGUGACUCACCACACAGUUUCAACCGCUGUCACCACUGAUGGUAAUGGAGCAGGUUCACUGACUCAGAUUGCCUUGAGAUCUGAAAUCACAGGUACAGAAGAGGCAUCUGCAGCUCUAGAGGGUCAUCCUAGGUCUUUCACAGCACCUCAAUCAUCCUCUAAACCUCUCUUACACUGACCUAGCCUGUGCUUCCUGACCCAGUCUUACCCAUAAAAGCACACAUGAAUGUAAUGAAAGAAGAUUCACUAGAAGAGCUUAGGAAGCAGCAGAGGAAGAUAUAAAGAACUAGAGAUUCAAGGACAUAAAGAAGAAAAAAAAGAUUGGUGAGAAAUGGUGAAGGGAAAACAAAGCUGGGAAGGUCACAUAUGGUUUUAUAAUGAAAUGGAAGAAGGAGAUGAAAGGUGGAUUGCCAACAGCUCUGUAAUGAUCUGCCUCUGCUGUUUAUCUAAGUGAUAACACUCUAACUGGUAUCAACACUUAGGUCAGCACUAAAUAGAUUAGGAACUCCCCACAGGGAGUGUGCAACACAGACGCAUGCAGAAACUGAGGAAAAGGGGCUCAGGAUGAGAACAAAAAAGGAAGAAUAGGAUCCCACCGUGUUAGCAGUCGUGUUCCUUUGUGACUAUACGUGCUCAGUAAAGUGCUGUUAGCUUUCUUCUCAGUCUUGGAGAGUGGGAAAGUCCAUACCUAUGCAACCAUGACAACAGCACACAAAUACAGAUUGUCUGCACAGUAAAAUAUGCACCUUAAUAAGCAACAAAAGGCCAAAAAAAUAAAAGAUAAAAUAAUCCUGUAAGUUUAAAGCUU